rnacentral:rRNA from 1 species
GCUUGUCUCAAAGAUUAAGCCAUGCAUGUCUCAGUAUAAGCUUGUGCAUAGUGAAACUGCGAACGGCUCAUUAUAACAGUUAUAAUUUGUUUGGUGUUCAAGUUUACAUGGGUAACUGUGGCAAUUCUAGAGCUAAUACAUGCUAUCAAGCCCGACUUCUUGAAGGGUUGUAUUUAUUAGACUUAAGCCAAUAUUCCUUGUGUCUAUUGCGAUGAUUCAUAAUAACUGAUCGAAUCUCAAAUUUGAGAUAAAUCAUUCAAGUUUCUGCCCUAUCAGCUUUCGAUGGUAGUGUAUUGGACUACCAUGGCAGUAACGGGUAACGAAGAAUUAGGGUUCGAUUUCGGAGAGGGAGCAUGAGAAACGGCUACCACAUCUAAGGAAGGCAGCAGG